CUUCAUUUCAAAGAAAAAUGUGGGAAAAAAACACAGGUACAUCUCCCUCGGCUGUGAUAUUUCAUAUUUUAGCCAGUUUUAUUGGUUACUUUUUCAGAGCUCAAAAAAAUCCUUACCAAUAAAAUGCUAGAACCUUAUGGAGAUCAGCCAAUGAAAUGAAGCCACUAGUUAUCACGUCAAUCACUUUUCACAAUCACAGUCUGGAGCUAGAUGCCCUCAAGACUCGAAAGCCAAAGGAAAAGAUGCUAAUUUCCUCUUGAAAUUUAACUAUGAGCAGUCAUGAAGAAUGCAACCAAAGUCGUAUACCAAAGUUGAAACAUAAAA